UGUUGUAGCAUGUUCCUUG
rnacentral:siRNA from 1 species